GGCGCUGGAAGCCCCCUUCUUCCAAAGGGAUCGCGGGCGAUCUCCCGCGGUCCGCCCGAGGGUGGGGGUACGGCCCAUCAGGUUGUUGGCGGGGUAACGGCCCGCCAAGCCGAAGACGGGUAGGGGCGGUGAGAGCCGUGAGCCCCGAGAUGGGCACUGAGACAAGGGCCCAGGCCCUACGGGGUGCAGCAGGCGCGAAUACUCCGCAAUGCGGGCAACCGCGACGGGGCCACCCCGAGUGCCGGGCGAAGAGCCCGGCUUUUGCCCGGUGUAAGGAGCCGGGCGAAUAAGCGGGGGGUAAGUCUGGUGUCAGCCGCCGCGGUAAUACCAGCCCCGCGAGUGGUCAGGGUGAUUACUGGGCUUAAAGCGCCCGUAGCCGGCCCGGCAAGUCGCUCCUGAAAUCCCCAGGCUCAACCUGGGGGCAGGGGGCGAUACUGCCGGGCUAGGGGGCGGGAGAGGCCGCCGGUACUCCGGGGGUAGGGGCGAAAUCCUAUAAUCCCCGGAGGACCACCAGUGGCGAAAGCGGGCGGCCAGAACGCGCCCGACGGUGAGGGGCGAAAGCCGGGGGAGCAAAGGGGAUUAGAUACCCCUGUAGUCCCGGCCGUAAACGAUGCGGGCUAGCUGUCGGCCGGGCUUAGGGCCCGGCCGGUGGCGUAGGGAAACCGUUAAGCCCGCCGCCUGGGGAGUACGGCCGCAAGGCUGAAACUUAAAGGAAUUGGCGGGGGGGCACCACAAGGGGUGAAGCUUGCGGCUUAAUUGGAGUCAACGCCGGA
rnacentral:rRNA from 1 species